ACUACUGUGAAUAAUAUAUAUAUGUAUAAAUAAAAAAAUCGGAUGAAAAUAUCUGAAGUUUAUUAUGACUUGUCAACAAAGGAGGGAGGACAUUUGUACGAGUGUGUGGAUAUGUGAAAGUUUACACAGGAUAGCAGAAAUAGGGAGAAGAAAAGUAAAAACAGCAGUUUAAAUUACCAAUCCCCUGUAGGAUUUUAAGCAGUUACCAGUCACUGCAAAGGGGAAGAGAAAAAUCAUCUCCCUUUCCUGAAGCCUCUCAGACUAAGCAGAAGGCAGAAUCCCACAAGGCAUGAUGGCAGCUGUGUUCCCCAGCACUGUGCACUGCAAUACCUAUAAGGGUUUGAUGCUCCCUCCGUGAGCAUUUCUGAUAUUCCCUCUCAGAAAACUAGCAGAAAACUAAUUUCAGCAGCCUUUCCUCACUAACUUCUCUCUUUGUUUUUCAGCUACAGAAUCCUCUUGUAAGUCUCCUUUCAUGAUGGAACUCAAUUACCUCCAGCAGUGUCUAACAGACCUACUUGAACAAAAAUGUGUCCAUCCACAUUGGGAUCACAAUAGUUUAAAGCUCCUAUUUCCUUGACCCCUAUUUUUCCAUUACUCAGAAUUCCACUAGGUUAUUAAUAAGUUUCUAAAAUGUUCACUGAGUCACAUAACAAUUAAAGAACAGAGAAAAAAGUUUCUCCAUGGCUCUAAAGACUGUCAGGGACCCUCUCUAUAUAGAAGGAGAAAAAAAUGAACAGGGAAAACAAAGAUACAGAUAAUAUUUCUGUUUACCAGCUGGGUCACCUAUUCAAGCAGUUAGUAAGUUGUAUAUUUGUUUCUUUGCUGUGCACUUAUCAAAGUCCAGUGAUAUAUAUUAAAACUUGAGUUCAAGUAUAGGAACUUUAAACUCAUUUUCUUAGCUUUUGCGUCUCCAUUAACCAGAAUUCCACCAGCUGAUUUUAAGUUUUCUGGAAAGUUCAGAUACGCCUGAUCAGAAAACCUUUUCAAGCAGUUACAUCACUAGAAAAUUUACCAAUUUCUACAUCACUAGAAAAAAAUGAAUAGGACAAUAAAUGAGGAGGGUGCAAUAAGAAAUCUUUCUGCUUAUUUUUCAGUGGAAUCAACUCCUCACACAAACAAGGGAACAGUUCCACCUGCCCUCACUGGUCCACCACCUUCAGAGCACAGUGGUUUGCCCUUGGCACCAAUAAUGAUUUCACAAAGAACCUCAACAAGACCUGAGAAAUCUAAGA